CUUCUUUUUUUUUAGUUCUUCCCCCCACUCCCCCCGAUCUGCCCUAGCCGCCCCCACCCUUCGUCGCGUGUUCAUCGCAGUUUUUGCCCAGCCAACACCGACCACCGUUCGUCGACCUCGAAGCACUGCAUGUCCACCUUCAACCGGUCGCACUGCUGGAUCCAACCCUCACGCUGCCGCUUCAGUCGUUGCCUUCAGCCGCUUCCAGUCGCUCGCCAUCGAUCGAAGUUCUUCAUUCAGUCGUUCUUCGUCGAGCCCUGCUGUUUGUCCACCGUCAACGAUCGAGGCUUGCCGCGCGCGAACCCACCGACAAUCGUCACUUCCAGACGCGUCAGAUUGCACUUUCCUGCAGCCAAUCAGUCGUUCUAGCAGUUUUCUACCCGCGUCGUGGUUCUGAUCGACCUCAGCCUCGGAUUUCCCCGGGUUCUUGGAUUCUUUUUUGUUAGUGAUUAGUUGUUGUAAGUGGAAUUUGUUUGCCAAUCAGAGUUCUAUUUUGGGUGUUUUAGGUCAUUUUGGAAUGCCAUUGUUAUUGAAUUAAGUUUUGGCCAAGAACUGAUUUAUCCAUAAAUUUUCAGGUUGGAUUCCAGAAUUUGGAUUGGUUAGAGCCAACUGUCCGGUGAGAUUAAGACUCUAUUGAUAAGUUUUCGUUGCUUUGUUUGCAGGGAGCGAGUUCAGUUUAAGCUUCAACUUUUGGGAGUUGUUCCAAGAUUGUUUGAGGUAAGAGUAGGGACGCUCUGGCGAAUGACAAGUGGAAUCCGUGAUCGAGACACUGGGACAUGUUUUAUGCUUCCGCUCAUGGUGUUUAGAUUUCUUUCAUGUUUUUCCACUUCCAGUCUUCAUGUUUGAAAACUUUUACAGUUUUCUAGACUCAUUAAAUUUCUAAUUAUGAUUUAUGGGUACCUUGUUAUUUGACUUUUAUUAAGUUUUAAUGAAAAUAUUUUAUUUGACUUUA